GGAAGGAUCAUUCACACAUUUCGAUUAUUCGAUUGUUCCUGAUUCAAAAACUGAACCCGUAAGCUUUUUUUUCGUGGGUUCUUUUGGCUGGCAUUGCUCUUCUUGUUUACAUGAAGAGUUGUGUCUAGUUGAAGGGGCUGGCGAGAGAAGCUCACGCAUUGGCGUGCAUUUUAGAGGUGUAUCGUUAUAGUUUUAUUGUACUUUCAGCAAUGGACGUCUUGGUUCCCAAUUCGAUGAAGGACGCAGCAAAUUGCGAUAAGCAGUGCGAAUUGCAGAAAUCUGUGAACUAUUAGACCUCUGAACGCAUACGGCACUGGCUGGAACUCGUUCCAGGAGUGUGUUUGGCUCAGUGUCUUACUAUCCAAAUCAGAACAUGAGAGAUGUCGUCGAGCGGCUCGCUAUUAAUGCGCUGCCGCUGCGUCGUCGUGUAAUUUUUGUUGUGAACUGUUAUUCUCUUAAAGAGGGUGGGUUAUGUACCUUAAUCACUAGUGCAAUAACAGUGUGCGACGAUUGUUUAUAUAAAUUAUAUUCUAAAUGACCUGAGCUCAAGCAAGGUAACCCGCUGAAUUUAAGCAUAUAAUUAAGCGGAGGAAAAGAAACUAAAUAGGAUUCUCUUAGUAAUGGCGAAUGAACAGAGAGGAGCUCAAAAUGGAAAUCACGCGCAGUUUUGUGCGGGAAUUGUAGUCUGAAGAAGUGUUUCCAGUGGACGUUGCAGAGAAAAGUCUCUUGACAGAGAACGCCAGAGAGGGUGAGAGUCCCGUCGCUGCUCUGCGGGACGUCCACAUACGGGGCAUUUUCGUAGAGUCGCGUUUCUUGGGAGUGAAACGCAAAUUUGGUGGUAAAUUUCAUCUAAGGCUAAAUAUUUUAUGGGAAACCGAUAGCAAAGAAGUACCUUGAGGGAAAGAUGAAAAGGACUUUGGAAAGAGAGUUAAAAUUCCCCGAAAUUGCUGAAAAGGAAGCGGUUGAAAUGCGAAGUGCAAACCUGAUAGUAUAGUUGUGUAGGAGAUUCAAACACUGCUGUUUCACCUUACGGGAUGCAGCAUGGUUGUGAGGGUUUUGCACAGCGAGUCUGUCAGGAUGAGUCAGCUGAGGUUGGUGCUUUCAUGUGGAGGUAUAACGGGAUGUCUUUCGGGACCUUCGCUGUUGUUCUGUUUCCAAUGGAAAGUGCCGACCGAGGUACGAGCAGAUGCUGGUCUACUAGCAUGCUUGGUAGCUGAUAACAGAGUUUCCACCGGCCCGUCUUGAAACACGGAUCAAGGAGUCCAUCAGAUAUGCGUGUCCGUGGGUAUGUAUCCCUAUGGGCGAAAUGAAAGUGAAGGGUUCCCUUUCUGGAACGACCGACCACAAUCGUCGAGCGAGGUUUGAGUACGAGCAUAUCUGCUGGGACCCGAAAGAUGGUGAACUAUUCCUGAAUAGGGUGAAGCCAGGGGAAACCCUGGUGGAGGCUCGUAGCGAUACUGACGUGCAAAUCGUUCGUCAAAUUUGGGUAUAGGGGCGAAAGACUAAUCGAACCAUCUAGUAGCUGGUUCCCUC
rnacentral:misc_RNA from 1 species